UGACCGCUGGCGGCGUGCCUAAUACAUGCAAGUCGAGCGAACAGACGAGGAGCUUGCUCCUCUGACGUUAGCGGCGGACGGGUGAGUAACACGUGGAUAACCUACCUAUAAGACUGGGAUAACUUCGGGAAACCGGAGCUAAUACCGGAUAAUAUAUUGAACCGCAUGGUUCAAUAGUGAAAGACGGUUUUGCUGUCACUUAUAGAUGGAUCCGCGCCGCAUUAGCUAGUUGGUAAGGUAACGGCUUACCAAGGCAACGAUGCGUAGCCGACCUGAGAGGGUGAUCGGCCACACUGGAACUGAGACACGGUCCAGACUCCUACGGGAGGCAGCAGUAGGGAAUCUUCCGCAAUGGGCGAAAGCUUGACGGAGCAACGCCGCGUGAGUGAUGAAGGUCUUCGGAUCGUAAAACUCCGUUAUUAGGGAAGAACAAAUGUGUAAGUAACUAUGCACGUCUUGACGGUACCUAAUCAGAAAGCCACGGCUAACUACGUG
rnacentral:rRNA from 1 species